AACUUUGUGGGUAAAUUGCGUCACUUCUUUCUUCAUUGAGCGACGCAAAUGACUAUUACCACUACCACCCACUCAGUGCUUCCUCUCAUUCAAUAUAAAAUACUCUUGCUCCCAUGUCGCCGUUCGAACUUCAAAAUUAAACCCUAGCAAAUUCAACUGCAAAAUCCCCAAAAAUUCAACAUCAAAACCUCAAGAAAUUCGUCCAACCAACCGAUUCCCCAGCGUUGCCUUGUUGUCGUUCGUACUGCAAAACAUACCGAUUUCAACAGCAAAACCCUGAUAAAUUCGACCCAAACCAACAAAUUUGACCCCAAAAUCAACAAAUUCGACCACUAAUUGAAAACCCCAAAAUAUCCAAGCCAAAACCCCCCAUUUUCUAGCAAAUUCGAGGCAAAACACCCCAUUUUUGAGCAAAAAUCGACCCAAACCACCCACAAAAUUCAAACUAUUAAAAUCAUUGAUAUUCGAGAUGAAAUACCCUAAAUCGAGGCUAGUAGGGGAUUUCUGCUUGUUGGUGUUGAUGUUGAUGGUUAGCUGGGGCGGCAUUGGCUGAUUUAUGCGGUGGCAGCACUAUUAAUUGGUGGAGAUUUGGGUGCCGCUGCGGUGGUAAAUUGCUGUUCAAAAGUUGCUGGAGUUCUCACUCGUUCUGCUUUGUUCUAUAAUUUCUCAUUCGUGAGUGAGCUUUUUAAUUUCUCAUUUUAUGUAAACCUUGACUUCACAAAAUCUAUCACAAUUUCACGGUAUUUUGAGCAAUUGUUCUUGUUUAAUCGAGUGUUUGUAUCUAGAUAUAAAGUUUGAUUAGUGAAUUACUUGGUGCAUGUGUAGCAAGUGGCUUGUGGUCGGUGGUGUGGCUUGGUGCAGCGGGCAAUUUGUUGUUGAAUUGUUUGUGAAUUGCAGGGGAUAAUGUUAAGCUGAUGGUUGGUGGUUAGUGGCGGUGGUGUGGCUUUGGUGCAGCGGCAAUUUGUUGCAGAGAGCUUUUUUGUUGUUGAGUUGUUUGUAAAUUGCAGGGGAGAAGUGACAUAAAAAAUUGGGAGGAUGUGAGAUAUGGAUACUAUGUCAUGUGCUAUACGUUUGAAAUAGUUCAACAUCAUCGUAAUAUAAUGAGGACCUUAUUAUAGUAUGUGUUGUCACAUUUUUCAUUACUAAUUCAAUAUAUUUUAGAUUUGCUACACUCUUGAAAUGAUUAUUUUUUUUGUUUUGUGUUGUG